AUUGAACGCUGGCGGCAUGCUUUACACAUGCAAGUCGAACGGUAACAGGCCGCAAGGUGCUGACGAGUGGCGAACGGGUGAGUAAUGCAUCGGAACGUGCCCAGUCGUGGGGGAUAACGCAGCGAAAGCUGCGCUAAUACCGCAUACGAUCUAUGGAUGAAAGCGGGGGACCGUAAGGCCUCGCGCGAUUGGAGCGGCCGAUGUCAGAUUAGGUAGUUGGUGGGGUAAAGGCUCACCAAGCCAACGAUCUGUAGCUGGUCUGAGAGGACGACCAGCCACACUGGGACUGAGACACGGCCCAGACUCCUACGGGAGGCAGCAGUGGGGGAAUUUUGGACAAUGGGCGCAAGCCUGAUCCAGCAAUGCCGCGUGCAGGAAGAAGGCCUCGGUUGUAACUAGCUUUGUACGGUAAC
rnacentral:rRNA from 1 species